AGAGUGAACGCUGGCGGUAGGCCUAACACAUGCAAGUCGAACGGCAGCACGGUAAGAGCUUGCUCUUAUGGGUGGCGAGUGGCGGACGGGUGAGGAAUACAUCGGAAUCUACCUUUUGGUGGGGGAUAACGUAGGGAAACUUACGCUAAUACCGCAUACGCCCUUCGGGGGAAAGCCGGGGACCAGCAAUGGCCUGGCGCUGAUAGAUGAGCCGAUGUCGGAUUAGCUAGUUGGUGAGGUAAUGGCUCACCAAGGCGACGAUCCGUAGCUGGUCUGAGAGGAUGAUCAGCCACA
rnacentral:rRNA from 1 species